GCAGCCGCGGCAAUCGGGGGGGGCGCCGGAGCCGGCAGCUCGGCGAGCAGCGGCAGGAGGCCGGGAAAACGCGAAAAAGGAAGGAAAAUAACCGAAAAAAAAGCGGGUCACUCCAGAGCCCCGGCUGUGGCUUUCGGUGCCCCCCAGGUCACUUUGCUCUGCCUUUUGGUGCCCCCCGAGCUCCAGACGUGACUUCCGAGGCGCCGCGGACCCAUUUCACGUGCUCCCAGCACAUCCGGCACUGCGGAGGAGCAGCCCCCCUCUCCAGGGAGAGCACCUUUUCCAGCCCUGCUUGGCCCCGAGGACGUCGGGAAAGCAGCCACGGCCACUCCGGGGCGAGUUCGGGCCCUGGGACUGCGACGCUGCUGCAGCUGGACACCGGCGUUGCGGACGGCGGCAAAGCUUGGGGGCGUAAACGCGGCUCUGGGCACAUGUCCGAGCUGCCGCGCUUUUUUUGCCCCCACACAACUCACGCGGGUUGGAGCGGCUCAGGUUGGGCCAGGUCUCCCCACUGCCCCCCCGGGGAGCCAGUCAGCUCCAGGCCUGCCCCCGACGCCCCCCUCGCCCUUAAAGGCAGGGGCGAGAGACUUUAAGAGGCUUAAAGUCUCUGGCUACCCUUAAAGUUACUUUGAGUUAUUUAUGUCCUCUUAAGUAAUUCAAAGCAACUUUAAGAAUAACCUAAAGAAUUCAGAUGAACUUUAAGAACUUAAGUUCAAAAGCUUUAUUCUUAAGUUCUUAAAGUUUGUCUGAGUUACUUAGGUUAUUCUUAAAGUUACUUUGAGUUACUUAAUGUCCUCCUAAGUAACUUUAAGGGUAGCCAGAGACUUAAAGGCAGGGGCAAGAGAC